rnacentral:rRNA from 1 species
GACGAACGCUGGCGGCGUGCUUAACACAUGCAAGUCGAACGGUGAAGCCCUUCGGGGUGGAUCAGUGGCGAACGGGUGAGUAACACGUGGGAAAUCUGCCCUGCACUCUGGGACAAGCCUUGGAAACGAGGUCUAAUACCGGAUAUGACCUUCCUCUGCAUGGGGGUUGGUGGAAAGCUCCGGCGGUGCAGGAUGAUCCCGCGGCCUAUCAGCUUGUUGGUGGGGUAAUGGCCUACCAAGGCGACGACGGGUAGCCGGCCUGAGAGGGCGACCGGCCACACUGGGACUGAGACACGGCCCAGACUCCUACGGGAGGCAGCAGUGGGGAAUAUUGCACAAUGGGCGAAAGCCUGAUGCAGCGACGCCGCGUGAGGGAUGGCGGCCUUCGGGUUGUAAACCUCUUUCAGCAGGGAAGAAGCGCAAGUGACGGUACCUGCAGAAGAAGCACCGGCUAACUACGUGCCAGCCGCCGCGGUAAAAC